GACAGAGGGUGCAAACGUUGUUCGGAAUCACUGGGCGUAAAGCGCGUGUAGGCGGCAAUGCAAGUCGGAUGUGAAAUCCCGCGGCUCAACCGUGGAAGUGCACCCGAAACUGCAUAGCUAGAGUGUCGGAGAGGAAGGUGGAAUGCUUGGUGUAGAGGUGAAAUUCGUAGAUAUCAAGCGGAACACCGGUGGCGAAGGCGGCCUUCUGGACGACGACUGACGCUGAGACGCGAAAGCGUGGGUAGCAAACAGG
rnacentral:rRNA from 1 species